CUUUUUAAAGGCAGAAACAACCUGAAUUUGUUCUUCAUAAUUGCAUCAGAAUGAGGACAUUUCAUUCUGGAACACUACAGAAACAGCCUCCCACACAAUGAAGUAUGGAAAGACUGAAGACAAGAUCUCCUGCUUCAUUCCUAGCACAGGAUGGAUGUGCUUCUGUCAGCUGGGUUUGCAGAGUAAAGAAGGCUACUGUUGGUACAGCCCUGCUUCUUGAGGAAGUUUGGAAGGCAUGUACUGUAUGUUCCUGAAAAACUGCAAGUCUGGCACCAAAGACUGGGUGUAGAAAGGUCAAGAUA